rnacentral:rRNA from 1 species
GAUGAACGCUAGCGGCAGGCCUAACACAUGCAAGUCGAGGGGUAACAUAGUUUGCUUGCAAACUGAUGACGACCGGCGCACGGGUGCGGAACGCGUAUCGAACCUGCCCCCUUCAGGGGAAUAGCCCAUGGAAACGUGGAUUAAUGCCCCAUGGCACCCAUUGACCACCUGGUCAUUGGGUUAAAGAUUUAUCGGAAGGGGAUGGCGAUGCGUGCCAUUAGCUGGUUGGUAAGGUAACGGCUUACCAAGGCAACGAUGGCUAGGGGCCCUGAGAGGGGGAUCCCCCACACUGGUACUGAGACACGGACCAGACUCCUACGGGAGCAGCAGUGAGGAAUAUUGGACAAUGGUGGGAACACUGAUCCAGCCAUGCCGCGUGCAGGAUGACGGCCCUA